CGCCGCGACCCGAGCCCGGGGAGCCCGGGGAGCCCGGGGAGCCCGGGAGCCGCGGCCGCCGCACACAAAGGCGCGGCCACGCGAGCCGCGGGAGAGCGGGAGGCGGCCCGGGGGACGCGCCCCGCCGGGGCACCGAGGCAGCGCUGCGCGCGGGCCGUGCGCCCGGGGCGCGGGGCGCGGCGCGGGGGCCCGGGCGGCGCGGCGAGUUCAGGUGCGCGGGGCGAGGCUGGGACGGCGGCGGCGGCGGCUGGCCCCGCUCCUCCUCCUCCUCCCGGGCGGACUGAGCAGAGGAGCGGCGGAGACAAGGGGCCCGGCCCCUCCCCUCCUUCCCCCCUCCUGCUCCGCCGCCGGUCCCCUCCCCGCGCCGCCGCCGCUCCGCCCCUCCCACCGCGGGCAGCUGGCGCGCCGCCCGCCCCGCCGGUGCGCUCCCCGGCCCGGCCCGCCCCCGGGCGCGCCGACCCCGCCCCGGCCCGCCCCGGCCCGCCCCGCCCCGCCGCGGCCCCUGCCCCGCGCCCCGCGCCCCGCGCCCCGCGCCCCGCGCAGCCCGGCAGCGCCCGUCGCGCGCGCCGCGGCUCCCCCUCCCGGGCCCCUCUGCUCCCCACCUCGCCCCCCUCCCUCCCUCCCGGUCCUCUUUGUCCCCGAUGCCUCGGAGCGCUCCUCGCUCCCUUCCAAGCCUCGGCCGCCGGCCCGGUGCCCGGUGUGGCCCUCCCAGCCCCCCUGCCGCGCCCCGCGGCGCCCGGCCCCCGGCUCCCGUCGCGGCGUCCCCUCGCCGUCCGCUCCCUUGCCGCCCCUCGCCCCGUUUGUCCCUCGUGGGGCCGGCCCCCGGCCCGCCUGCCCUCCGCCGCCCUCCCGCGCGAAUGGCCCCUGCUCGGCGGCACCUCCCCGGCAGCCAGCCCGCGGGAGGGCCUCCCGGGGGCCGGGGCCGGGCCCCCAGGUACACCUGUGGUGUUCUCCAGGAGGGGUGUUGGGGCCUGACCUUUCACAGUGAAAAGAAAAGAAGGAAGGGAGGAGAGAAAACAAGAAAAGAACUCAGGACGGUGGUUUCCAAAUUUGUAAAGCAGGAUGAGGCACACGAGACGUUCUCAACAAAUGACGGUGAUGGUUGGGAGAGCAGUGGUCUCCAGAGCUUCCAGAGUCUCAGCGGAGAGCUGUGA
rnacentral:lncRNA from 1 species